rnacentral:rRNA from 1 species
GACGAACGCUGGUGGCGUGCUUAACACAUGCAAGUCGAACGGAAAGGCCCUGCUUUUGUGGGGUGCUCGAGUGGCGAACGGGUGAGUAACACGUGAGUAACCUGCCCUUGACUUUGGGAUAACUUCAGGAAACUGGGGCUAAUACCGGAUAGGAGCUCCUGCUGCAUGGUGGGGGUUGGAAAGUUUCGGCGGUUGGGGAUGGACUCGCGGCUUAUCAGCUUGUUGGUGGGGUAAUGGCUUACCAAGGCUUUGACGGGUAGCCGGCCUGAGAGGGUGACCGGCCACAUUGGGACUGAGAUACGGCCCAGACUCCUACGGGAGGCAGCAGUGGGGAAUAUUGCACAAUGGGCGGAAGCCUGAUGCAGCAACGCCGCGUGCGGGAUGACGGCCUUCGGGUUGUAAACCGCUUUCGCCUGUGACGAAGCGUGAGUGACGGUAAUGGGUAAAGAAGCACCGGCUAACUACGUG